ACUCAAAGGAAUAGACGGGGGCCCGCACAAGCGGCGGAGCAUGCGGAUUAAUUCGAUGCAACGCGAAGAACCUUACCUGGGUUUGACAUGUACACCAAAGCCUCAGAGAUGGGGCCCCCUUCGGGGGUGUUCACAGGUGGUGCAUGGCUGUCGUCAGCUCGUGUCGUGAGAUGUUGGGUUAAGUCCCGCAACGAGCGCAACCCUCGUUCCAUGUUGCCAGCGGGUCAUGCCGGGGACUCAUGGGAGACUGCCGGGGUCAACUCGGAGGAAGGUGGGGAUGACGUCAAGUCAUCAUGCCCCUUAUGUCCAGGGCUUCACGCAUGCUACAAUGGCCGGUACAAUGGGCUGCGAUACCGUAAGGUGGAGCGAAUCCCAAAAAGCCGGUCUCAGUUCGGAUCGGGGUCUGCAACUCGACCCCGUGAAGUCGGAGUCGCUAGUAAUCGCAGAUCAGCAACGCUGCGGUGAAUACGUUCCCGGGCCUUGCACACACCGCCCGU
rnacentral:rRNA from 1 species